GCCGCUGUAGCUCAGUUGGUAGAGCAAAGGACUGAAAAUCCUUGUGUCGAGGGUCCGAUUCCCUCUGGCGGCA
rnacentral:tRNA from 1 species